rnacentral:rRNA from 1 species
GACGAACGCUGGCGGCGUGCUUAACACAUGCAAGUCGAACGGAAAGGCCCCUUCGGGGGUACUCGAGUGGCGAACAGGUGAGUAACACGUGAGUAACCUGCCCUUGACUUCGGGAUAACUUCAGGAAACUGGGGCUAAUACCGGAUAGGAAUCCUUGCUGCGUGGUGGGGGUUGGAAAGCUUCGGCGGUUUUGGAUGGACUCGCGGCUUAUCAGCUUGUUGGUGGGGUAGUGGCUUACCAAGGCUUUGACGGGUAGCCGGCCUGAGAGGGCGACCGGCCACAUUGGGACUGAGAUACGGCCCAGACUCCUACGGGAGGCAGCAGUGGGGAAUAUUGCACAAUGGGCGGAAGCCUGAUGCAGCAACGCCGCGUGCGGGAUGACGGCCUUCGGGUUGUAAACCGCUUUCAGCAGGGGCGAAGCUUGUGGUGACGGUACCUGCAGAAGAAGCACCGGCUAACUACGUG